rnacentral:rRNA from 1 species
UGGGGAAUUUUGCGCAAUGGGGGAAACCCUGACGCAGCAACGCCGCGUGGAGGAUGAAAUCCCUUGGGAUGUAAACUCCUUUCGAUAGGGAAGAUAAUGACGGUACCUGUAGAAGAAGCCCCGGCUAACUUCGUGCCAG